CACGUAGGGUGCGAGCGUUGUCCGGAAUUAUUGGGCGUAAAGAGCUCGUAGGCGGUGUGUCGCGUCGGCCGUGAAAACCUGCAGCUUAACUGUGGGCUUGCGGUCGAUACGGGCAUCACUGGAGUUCGGCAGGGGAGACUGGAAUUCCUGGUGUAGCGGUGAAAUGCGCAGAUAUCAGGAAGAACACCCGUGGCUAAGGCGGCUCUCUAGUACGUGACUGACGCUAAGACGCGAAAGCGUGGGGAGCGAACAGG
rnacentral:rRNA from 1 species